rnacentral:rRNA from 1 species
AUUGAACGCUGGCGGCAGGCCUAACACAUGCAAGUCGAACGGUAACAGGAAACAGCUUGCUGUUUCGCUGACGAGUGGCGGACGGGUGAGUAAUGUCUGGGAAACUGCCUGAUGGAGGGGGAUAACUACUGGAAACGGUAGCUAAUACCGCAUAACGUCGCAAGACCAAAGAGGGGGACCCUCGGGCCUCUUGCCAUCGGAUGUGCCCAGAUGGGAUUAGCUUGUUGGUGGGGUAACGGCUCACCAAGGCGACGAUCCCUAGCUGGUCUGAGAGGAUGACCAGCCACACUGGAACUGAGACACGGUCCAGACUCCUACGGGAGGCAGCAGUGGGGAAUAUUGCACAAUGGGCGCAAGCCUGAUGCAGCCAUGCCGCGUGUAUGAAGAAGGCCU